ACGAUACUACUUUGCAUUUCUGAAGAGGGAAGAAGAAAUCAACAUGAAAAUUCAAUUCCAUGGUUUUGGAAGUCCCAUUGAGAACACGAUUCAUUUGCGCCGGCAUAAUGCUCUGACCGAGAAAGAAUUGAAGUUUCCACUUGGAAGAAAGAUUCACAUCAAAUUGACUGGUCAAGGAAAUGGGACACUGACUUAAUUGCAUGACAGUUGAAUGGUUCGUUGAGAGUGAGGAACCUAUGGACUCUCACACACCAAGAUGGAAUUUAGUUCGAAGAGUGACUUCAAAAUAGUUGCUUGCUUUUAAAAU